rnacentral:rRNA from 1 species
GUUACCCACAAACAGAAUUUUAGUUCAACUUUAAAUUUACCUAAAAAAAAACGAAAUUUUAAUGUAAAUUUAAAAUAUAAUCUAAAAAGGUACAGCUUUUUAGAGCAAGGACACAACCUUUAUUAGAGAGUAAAUAUUAACAUAACCAUAGUUGGCCUAAAAGCAGCCAUCAAUUGAGAAAGCGUUCAAGCUCAACAAACAAUGCAACUUAAUCCCAACCAUAUUGCAUCAACUCCUAAUUCACCUCCUGGGUUAUUCUAUUUAAGUAUAGAAGCAAUAAUGCUAGUAUGAGUAACAAGAAUUAUUUCUCCCCGCAUAAGCUUAUAUCAGAAACGGAUAGACCACUGAUAGUUAACAACCUGAUAAAACCAACCCAAAAAUAAAACACUUAUCUACCCCAUUGUUAACCCAACACAGGUAUGCACUCAAGGAAAGAUUAAAAGAAGUAAAAGGAACUCGGCAAACAUAAACCCCGCCUGUUUACCAAAAACAUCACCUCCAGCAUUACCAGUAUUGGAGGCACUGCCUGCCCAGUGACAUCCGUUAAACGGCCGCGGUAUCCUG